CCCAAACCUGUAGGACAAGAUCAGAGAGUUCUCAGUGUUUGUCAGCCUAGGCUUGAAUGGAAGCAGGAGCAAUUGAAAGGUCAAAAAGACUGGGCAUUCUCCUGUUUCCAGCAUGGCCAAGAAGAUGUUGAACCUGAUAAAGAACCAAUUAACCAGGAAAGGAAGGAAACUGCUCAGUUGAUCCAGAAGAGGAUCUCCUUCAAUGAUGAGUAGAUACCAAUAGAGAAGCUUUAUCAUUAGCCUAUCAACUAUCAACAACUAUCUAGAAAAACUGCAGAGCCUUGUUCCUGAAGAAUAUUGGUUUGGGUUUAUUCAUCUCAGAUGGAUCUCCAGAAAGAGAGAGCCUGGUUUUGCCACUUCUAUUUGGACCUGUCACUUUGCUCUGUCCUGGUUCCAUGAGUAAAACCAUCAAGUCUUUC